rnacentral:tRNA from 1 species
GAUAAUGUGACUGAAUUAAAGUGAUAAACUGUAAAUUUAUUUAUGAAAAUAAUAAUAUUUUCCAUUAUUA